CUAUGGGCACAGCCGGUGAUCACAGACCCUGCCUUGCACCAAACUAAGUGAAUACAGUUCUACAAGUAAAAAUUAGCCCUGGAGUUAGAACUCAAAUAUUCUUCAUGACUGAGCCCUAACUUGGCCAACGUACUACCACAUUCAAACGAAGAUAAAUGAGUUACUUACUGUGAGAUCAUCACCUGUGCUCGUGGAGUCCAAAUUGUUUCGCCAGAAGGUCUGCAAAAAGGGAUGAAGAGAUGGACACAGGCAAAUAGGAAGAAAUGAUUCAUAAAUAAAAGGAAAGAUCUUUGAAAAUUAUUCAAGUUCUAAAUGUGGGACUUGAAGGAAACAACGAAAGUCUUGAGAUUUACUAUC